AUUGAACGCUGGCGGCAUGCCUUACACAUGCAAGUCGAACGGUAACGGGCCUUCGGGUGCCGACGAGUGGCGAACGGGUGAGUAAUACAUCGGAACGUGCCCGAUCGUGGGGGAUAACGAGGCGAAAGCUUUGCUAAUACCGCAUACGAUCUACGGAUGAAAGCAGGGGACCGCAAGGCCUUGCGCGGACGGAGCGGCCGAUGGCAGAUUAGGUAGUUGGUGGGAUAAAAGCUUACCAAGCCGACGAUCUGUAGCUGGUCUGAGAGGAUGAUCAGCCACACUGGGACUGAGACACGGCCCAGACGCCUACGGGAGGCAGCAGUGGGGAAUUUUGGACAAUGGGCGCAAGCCUGAUCCAGCCAUGCCGCGUGCAGGAUGAAGGCCUUCGGGUUGUAAACUGCUUUUGUACGGAACGAAAAGCCUUCUUUUAAUACAGGAGGGUCAUGACGGUACCGUAAGAAUAAGCACCGGCUAACUACGUG
rnacentral:rRNA from 1 species